rnacentral:tRNA from 1 species
AGUAGAAUGGCUGAGUUGUAUAGGCAAUAAACUGUAAAUUUAUCUACGAAUCGUUCGAGAUUCUUCUACUA